GGCCAGGUGGCAGAGUGGUCAUGCAGCGGCCUGCAAAGCCGCGUACGCCGGUUCGAUUCCGACCCUGGCCU
rnacentral:tRNA from 1 species